AAAUUCAGAGUUGGUGAACUCAAGGGGCUUCCAUAGCCUAGACAGCUCAUAGCAAGAGUCUCGGGUGAUUGCUGACGUCAUAAAUAAGAGUGCCAAUUGUUAAAUCAACAAUGGGAGUCACUGGGUUCAUGCUCCCCUCGCAGGAUCUCUGUCCUUAAUAUGUUUAUCUAUGAAACUCAAAAACAACACUACUAGUCGAACAAUAUCCUAUACCUGGUUCAGUUGUGUGAGUGCAACCUGUUGAAAUCCCUGCUUAGUAUAUACUAAAUUGAUCUUCGGUAUAUGAAGCUCCCGGCUAAUACAUCUGGGAAAAGCAGGGGAGGAUGGCCCAAGUGCUUGGGCCCCUGCACUGGGAGAUCGGGAUAUUGAAAUUUAGAACAAGGAACUUAAGAAGUUUGCUCAUGUUUAUGCAAAUCAUUGGAGGUCCCAAGGUUACUGCCUCAGUUUCAAAUAACAGAAUUUUAGAAAUGAGGGAAAUACAUGCAAAGGACAUGGUGAUUGAGGAAGAAGGAAUUCUGAGAUAUCCCCCAGUGACAGGAGUGUUCCUAAUUAGGCUGCUAGAGUUGCACGUACUCACCUCUUCUACAAGAACAUCAAAAGAUAAUGUGGGAACUAAGCCCUAGAAAAAGUAAUCUGUUGGGUAUUAGACAAUCAGAAGAAAGAUUAAAGGGAAAAGUGCAAUCACAAAAUCUGGAACUACAGGGAAUCAAGAUAAUCACAGAGCAAUCUGUGUAACUGGAGGAGAGGUUACUGAAGCCAUUCCCUGUACAUUUUUGUGGAGUACAGUGUGCAUUGACCAAAUCCGGGUAAUAAUCUUCCUGUUUCCUGAAAUACUUUGUGUAUUUUAUUAAUAGAGAAGAGAGGAGCUUGUACUUUCCAAAACAAAGAUAAGUAAAGAUAAUGAGAUGGAAAAAUUAAAUACUUGGCUUUCAUGAGUACAUAUUGUUUACACAUAUUGACAUACCCUGCCAUAUGUAUAAUUAUUAAAUGUAUAUGUAUAAUGAAAUGCUCAUAAGAUUAAAUAUUUAAAAGCAUAGGCUAUUUGCUUAAUUGAGAAAAUUCAUCAGUAGAAAUAUGUAGACAAAGUAUGAAAGUCAUCUGUUAUCCCACUUCUGAAAUGUAACUUCCAUUAAUAUUUGGUUGUUGCUCCUCCAAAUGGUAUUAUUUCAAUUCACCACAAUUACAGGUAAACCUUUUUCUCAUGUCUUAUAAAAAGUAGCCUAAGUUUCAGCUAUACCUUGUAUUCUGUUUGUUUCACUUAUUUUUCAAUAACCAUUUUUUAAAGAGACUUAACAUUGCUGUAUCUCUCUCUUAUUGUUUUUGUUAUUGGUAGAAAUAGCAUAAAGCUUUGUGAUGUCUGCAGGUGUAUGUGUGUCAGAAGCAAUGACAUUCAAUUUUGUAUUAAAAUAGACUCUUCAUUUUAAUAUCACAUACUCAUUAUGUAAGAGAUCAGUUAGUUUUAGCUAUUUGGUAUUAGAAAUUCACCACCUAAAACAAUUGGUUUCUCAGAUUUAUGAUGCUUUUUGAGUAACUUUUGAUAGCCUCCAAGAGCUAGAGAUAAGAAGGAGCUACUUUUUCUCCUAAAAAAAAGUUGCUAUCAUAAGCUAUCUGAUAAUAAAGCCACGUAUUGGUUCAUUGCCACUGUGAUUAGCAAGCGUUUGUACUUACACAACCAUUUCUAAACACUUGGGGAUUUCUCUGAUCUUGGUCUUGUGGGAAUUCAGUAAGUUCCUUGCAAAAAAAAAAAAUCACUUUUCAUGAUUUAAUGAUCCUUUUUAAAGGAUCCAAUGACAAAAAUUCUUAUUUUGAGCAAAAGAGAUGCAGAGUCUAAGACUGAACAAGCCCUUUAAGUUCACUAGAUUCUUUGAUUUUUUUUUUUUUAUUUAAAAGCAAGAUUUAUUUAAAUCAGAGACCUCCUAGAGAGGGGUUCCAAGAGAGGAAAACCCAGGGAAGCCGGUAGUAGUGGAGCUGUUAAGCACAUUUUGAGGUUUCUAAAUAUAUUUACUAUUGAUCAUUACCAGUGAAAAAUGACUUCUGAUAUUCAUUGUGCUGAUUUUCAAGAUCUUUAAUGUGGAAUGGACAUAUAUAAAGAUGUCCUGAUGGCUAAUUCUUGAGUAAAGUUUCUAAUUAACUCUCUUAAAAUGCUGAUUCACAUCCUUAAGAUGAUCCUUAACUAUAUCUUUACAUCCAUGCUCCACAUGUAUAUUUUAUAUUCUUUGGGUUCAUAUAUACCUUCACUUAAAAUGACAGUCUUUUCGAGUUACAAAUAAAGCUAUUCCUAUGAUUUCCCAAGGAUGUGUUGUUACUUUAUAUUAAGGAGCAUUCUAUUCCUCAAUAUUUUUAUAGAGUACUCACAUGCUAUAUUUGAAGUAUGCAGGCAUACAGGUUAAAUUGAUUAGAUUUGUGAACUGGAAGAACAUGCCUUCGCCACGCCCCUGUGUAACCUCAUGCCCCUACCCAAUGCCUCUGCCACACCCCUGUGUGGCCUCAUUCGCCUACUUGGCCACAUGUGGGUGCCCACCAGCCAAUCAGGUUAAUUAACUACUCCCCUUUGGAAGUGGGUUAAAAGCCGGGACAAGGUGUGGCCCAAGCCACUCUUCUUCCCUGCCCUCUUGUCAGGAGGGGGCUUGCUGUAGCCCUGCACCUCCAGGGCACAUGGCCUUCGGCCCAUGUGCUCUAGGAUUCCUGGCCCAGAUACAGGCAUAGAUGCUCUUCCACAUGGCUGGUUCCUGGUGCUCGGUGUGAACCCCUAUUUACCUCUCUCUCUUAAAUAAAGCUCUCACUUUCCUAUGUACCUUUCUCACUAAAUAAAAGCUUAAAACGCACCAUGCUGCCUUGUUUAUCUCUGCUGGUAUUUAGAAUUCUUUUCUAAAUAUUAGGCAAGAACCCCCUUGGGCUUAUUAAUAUUGGGGAUUUAGUAAUAAGCCCGUGGUGAAAUUGUAAGGCACCCCAAAUUCCAGUACCACAUGUGGCACCCCAGGUAGCAUUUCUAGGGAACUUUAAGGGGCCACAUUUCAGUGCAAAUUUUAGGGGGUCUUCUCUGAUUUCAUAUCCACUUGAGAAGAACACUGUACAGUGUAUCCAGUUACCUAAUCAUUAAAGUAUUUUUAUCCAGAUAAUUCUCUAAUUGUGGUGGAUAAGCAUCAGCUAACUAUCACUAGAGAAAUUGUUUCCAUGAGGAGAGCCACCUUCACUGAUACCUGCCUUUCUGGGACAGCCACAUCUAAUAAAUAUGGAGCUACAAGAUUUAGCCUUCUUUUAGUUACAAGCAGCUGUUUUAAAGAUACUGCUUAGAUUCAGAGAUCCUAAAAUGGAUGCCUGAAAUUGUCACUGGGCCUGCAUUGCUGUUCAUUAUCUCCAGCUGGUACUUCCUGUCUCCUUUUCUCUUCAACAGAGGUUGAUUUCCUGGUGAUCCUUAAAAUCUCUCUGACAGAUUAUACUUUCCAGGGAUCUCCAUGCAUGUUCCACCCUUUGCCAUUAUCCACCUGUUUGUAAGAUCAUUACACUUCAACAUAAGAUUGAAAAUCCUGGCCAGCACCAUGGCUCACUAGGCUAAUCCUCCACCUGCGGCACUGGCACCCCAGGUUCUGGUCCCGGUUGGGGCACCGGAUUCUGUCCCGGUUGCUCCUUUUCCAGUCCAGCUCUCUGCUGUGGCCUGGGAGUGCAGUGGAGGAUGGCCCAAGUGCUUGGGCCCUGCACCCCAUGGGAGACCAGGAAGAAGCACCUGGCUCCUGGCUUCGGAUCAGGGCAGUAUGCCGCCCAAAGUGGCCAUUUGGGGGGUGAACCAACAGAAG